GUAUAGGUAUGAAAUCACCAGAAGAACAACUGGUGUGUGUGCCACCACAGGAGGCCUUUCCUAACGACCCCCGGGUAAUAAAUAGACAGAGAAGUUCUGAUUACCAGUUUCCAUCCUCUCCAUUUACAGACACACUAAAGGGCACCACUGAGGAUGACGUGUUGACAGGUCAGGUGGAGGAGCAGUGUGUGCCAGCAGCAGAGGCAGAGCCGCCUGCAGUGAGCGAAACCACAGAGAGGACAGUGUUAGGAGAGUACAAUCUCUUUUCUAGGAAGAUAGAAGAGAUUUUGAAGCAAAAGAAUGUUUCAUAUGUCAGUAGAGUUUCCACACCUAUCUUUUCAACACAAGAGAAGAUGAAACGGCUUUCCGAGUUCAUAUAUUCUAAGACUUCCAAAGCUGGUGUGCAGGAGUUUGUAGAUGGUUUGCAUGAGAAGCUAAAUACUAUUAUUAUUAAAGCAUCAGCCAAGGGUGGGAAUUUGCCACCAGUCAGUCCUAAUGAUUCUGGUGCUAAGAUAGCAUCGAAUCCUCUGGAAAGGCAUGUCAUACCAGUUUCCUCAAGUGACUUCAACAAUAAACGUCUCCUUGAGCCACUGUGUAGUGAUCCUUUGAAAGAUACCAACUCUAAUGAGCAGCAUUCCACUUCGACUUUAACUGAAGUAGAAAUGAACCAGCCUCAACAUGCCACAGAGUUAAUGGUGACUUCUGAUCAUAUUGUACCUGGUGAUAUGGCCCGGGAACCACUAGAAGAAACAACAAAAUCCCCCAGUGAUGUAAACAUUUCUGCUCAACCAGCUCUUUCAAAUUUUAUAAGCCAGUUAGAACCUGAAGUAUUUAAUAGUUUGGUUAAAAUCAUGAAAGAUGUCCAGAAAAAUACUGUGAAAUUUUAUAUUCAUGAAGAAGAAGAGAGUGUGCUCUGUAAAGAAAUAAAGGAAUAUCUUAUCAAAUUAGGCAAUACAGAAUGUCAUCCAGAACAGUUUUUGGAAAGAAGAUCAAAAUUAGAUAAACUAUUGAUUAUUAUUCAAAAUGAAGACAUUGCAGGUUUCAUUCACAAGAUACCUGGCUUGGUGACUUUAAAGAAGCUCCCCUGUGUUAGUUUUGCUGGUGUUGAUAGCCUGGAUGAUGUUAAAAAUCAUACAUACAAUGAAUUAUUUGUAUCUGGAGGUUUUAUCGUAUCUGAUGAAUCAAUUCUAAACCCAGAGGUUGUCACAAUUGAGAACCUUAAAAAUUUUUUGACAUUCCUUGAAGAACUUAGUACUCCAGAAGGAAAAUGGCAAUGGAAAGUCCACUGUAAAUUUCAGAAGAAACUAAAGGAACUAGGCAGAUUGAAUGCUAAAGCUCUAAGUCUGUUGACGCUUCUGAAUGUCUAUCAGAAGAAACAUCUGGUUGAAAUUUUGUCAUACCACAAUUGUGAUUCACAAACUCGAAAUGCUCCAGAAUUGGAUUGCCUUAUCAGACUUCAGGCUCAGAACAUACAGCAACGACACAUAGUCUUUUUAACAGAGAAGAACAUCAAGAUGCUUUCCAGUUAUACAGAUAAUGGAAUAGUGGUUGCAACUGCUGAAGACUUCAUGCAAAACUUUAAAAAUCUUGUGGGCUAUCACAAUUCAAUCACAGAAGAAAACCUUCCGCAGCUUGGUGCUAAUGAGAAUCUUGAGUCGCAGUCAGCUCUUUUAGAAAACGAUGAAAAGGAUGAAGAGGAUAUGUCUCUGGAUUCAGGGGAUGAAAUCUCACAUAUAGAAGUAUGCAGCAAUUUUCAUUCAGAAAUAUGGGAGAGAGAGACCAAAGGAUCACGUGGAACAGAUCAAAAAAAGAAUACUCAAAUUGAGUUGCAAUCGUCUCCUGAUGUGCAAAACAGUUUAUUAGAAGAUAAGACUUAUCUUGAUUCUGAAGAGAGAACUUCUAUUGAUAUAGUAUGCUCUGAAGGAGAGAACAGCAAUUCAACAGAACAAGAUUCAUAUAGUAACUUUCAGGUUUAUCAUAGUCAAUUAAAUAUGUCCCAUCAGUUUAGUCAUUUUAAUGUUCUCACUCAUCAGACAUUUUUGGGGAUACCAUAUGCCCUUUCAUCAAGUCAGUCUCAAGAAAAUGAAAAUUACUUCUUAUCUGCUUAUACUCAAAGCUUGGAUAGAGAUAAAUCUCCACCUCCCUUAAGUUGGGGGAAAAGUGUUUCUUCCAGGCCAUAUUCACAAGAGAAAUAACUGUAGUAACUUUUUUUUUAAUAGAUUGUUGUGGACUUUGUUUAUUAACAGUUUAUAUUUCAUUCUCUAAACAAAAGGUUCUUGUUCUUUCUCAAAUGUUUUUUCUUUUAUUUAAAUCAUGAUGGUCUGUAACAGUUGAAGCAUCUAAAAAUUGAAAUAAAUAUAUAUUUUUAACAUAUAUUGUACUUGAAUUAUCUCAUGUUGGCACUUCUAAGUUUUACUUUUUGUAUGUUACCUGUACUUAGGCUUCAAAUUGAAGCCUGUUUUAUGUGUAAAAUCAGAUGCUUGCAGGAGGACGGUAAACAGCAAAGGCUUUACUUCUUUUCCUCUAAUGUCACCUGAUAAAAAGUACCUUUGUUGAAGUGAAUUAUUUUGAUGUAGGCUUUUGUAUAGUGUGUUUCCACAGGUAUAAGCCAGUAAUAGCAGUGUUAAUAUUUACAGGAUUUUGGCUCAAUACCUCAAGAUUUAUCUAACAAUGCAGUUUCAUUUAGAUAAUAAACUAUGUACAUAGGACACAUUUUUUAUCUCUAGGCUUAGUCAUGUAAAAACUGCUUAUUGCUAAAAUUCUGGUAACUUUUUGAGAGUAUUGGAUAAUUAAUUUUCAGUACCUGCACAAUCCUUGAUUUAAUGAAAUAAAUUUUUUAUUUCAAAAGAUAGGCUUCUGUUUAUCAAAGGCAUUGAACAAUUUGAUUUUUAAAUUAGUUUUAGCAAAAUGGAAGUAUAAUGGAAAUAUAUUUUUGAGGUGGUCUUAGUAAUUACCAUUUGUUGAACACAUUAAUGCUAUACUAGACAGAUACAGUGGAGAUAGCUUUCAAACCCAUAUCUAUUCCUAACUAACUAACUACUGCCUCUAAUACUAAUUACUAACUUGUUACUAAUGCUAACUUAUAAAAAUGUUUUUGAAAAUUGCAAUUUCUACAAAUAAAUGUCAUACUGCAAAUAAAUGUCAUAAAAGCAGGAUUUAGAGAAGAAAACAAUUUCCACAGGAGCCUAAACUGUGAAUUUGUGUUAUUUUAGUAAAAGUUAUGGAGUUAUGUAUGGGUCUACACGUGUUAAUAAGUUAGACAGAACUUUUUGGCACUUAAAACAAAUGCAUGAGUGGUAUUUCAGUUCCUAAGUUACAUAAAAAGUGUGAAAGAACACUGUGAGGUCCCAGGAAUGCCAGACUAUAUUAAGGUAAGUAGAAAGUGUUUUUAUAGGGCUUCAAUACCCAGGUGGUGACAGCAGAAGAACUGUUUUUUUUUACUACUAAGCUUUUACAAAAGUAUCUGUUUUAUUUGUAUAGAACAAGUACAGCAUUUUACUACAUAGUAUACAAGUUUUUAAUGAGCAUUUAAAAAAAUAAGUAAAUCUAGGCUAUUUGAAAAAUACAGUUGAGCCAGUGAGCACAUUUUAUAAUUUGGAAGACACAAAUCAAAUGUGAAGGAUUUGAUUUUCUACAUUUAAAAUGAAGAACCAAAAUUCUCUUCUUGAUUUUCAGCUAAAGGCAGGAGACUACUUUCCAACUCCUUUUGCUUCUGGAGAAGGCCCUGAAAUCACAUUGAUACAUGUUAGUAAAAUGUGCACACCUGACUUGCAAUGUUGUGUUAAACUAGAAUUCUAUUCACUUGGAAAACAUACUGCUUAGGAUAAAAUUUUGUCAUUCAAAAAGUUUUUCAGAAAUGCUUGUACUAGACCACCUCAUUUGGAUAUAUAGCUAUCACAUUUGUAAGAUUCUAUUUUUAGCAUAAAAAUCAAUGGGAUGAAAAUUUUCUUAAAAAUCAAGACUCCAUAACUAUGGGAGUAAAUGAAGUCAUCCCUUCUCCCCCAAUCCACCCCCAAGUGCUCUUAGAUACCGAAGGAGUCUCCCUUAACAUACAGUGUUUUUUUUGUUUGUUUGUUUGUUUUUUUGACGGAGUCUCGCUCUGUCGCCCAGGCUGGAGUAUAGUGGUGCAAUCUCGACUCACUGCAAGCUCUGCCUCCCAGGUUCACACCAUUCUCCUGCCUCAACCUCCUGAAUGGCUGGACUACAGGCACCCGCCACCACACCUGGCACACCUGGCUAAUUUUUUAUAUUUUUAGUAGAGACAGGGUUUCACUGUGUUAGCCAGGAUGGUCUCGAUCUCCUGACCUCAUGAUCUGCCUGCCUCAGCCUCCCAAAGUGCUGGGAUUACAGGCUUGAGCCACUGCUCCUGGCCAACAUCCAGUAUUUUAUCUUGACUGUCCUAACCUUAUCUUAGAUGCUAACAGAAGGGUCCUGCUGAAAUAACACUGGGUGCUAUAUUGAUGGGUUAAUGUGUACAUCAUAUUCCUUCCUCUUUCUCUCACAAUUUUUGUCUCCACUAAGCAAGAGGUAAACUAACACUUCGUCACUCUAAAGAAAUAACUUACUUAUGUAAAACUCUUAGUAACCCUGUUUGUUUGUUUGUCUUCAAAUGAGUAAAUAGACCAAAGUGGGGGGACAAUUUUCUAGUUCUGUAGAGGGAAAAACAUCUGAGUCAACAUUUUGAAAUACAGAGGGUAUUGGUACAUGACGACAUGGAAAAGGGCACUUUUAAACACAGCUUACUCUUCCCCAAGUACAGAGAGUACACAGUGAAUCAAAACUAACUACAGCCAUUCUUUUUAAAGCCUGAGGGAUGGAGCAAAGGUGUAAGGAUGUUACCUGUUUGUUUUAAUCAGAGAGCAAAAAGAAGUCACAAUAGUUUGGGAGAAAAAGUCUGGUGAGUAAGGUUAUGCAUAUAAUUUCAUACUGAAUUUAUUACUAUUUGGGAUGUAUGUCAAUGUUCUAUUCUAACACUGCCAACACAUCAAUUUUUUAAAAAGCGUGGGCCACGUUGCUAAGAAUUUGUUAAAGCAUAACUGUAUUUUUUGUUUUAGGGCCUUAUUGAUGUUUUGCCGUUCCAAUGUAUGCAUUUUUUUACUCAAUAAACUUGUCUUAAUUUU
rnacentral:sRNA from 1 species